rnacentral:hammerhead_ribozyme from 1 species
AUACUGACGAGGAGUCCCAAAGUAGGACGAAACAGCUGUCCAGUAC